GUCGGGUUGUACUGGUCGCACGGACUGUAAAUCCGUCGGCUUAGCCUACCCAGGUUCGAAUCCUGGCGCCGCCA
rnacentral:tRNA from 1 species